GAUGAAGAACGUAGCGAAAUGCGAUAAGUAAUGUGAAUUGCAGAAUUCAGUGAAUCAUCGAAUCUUUGAACGCACAUUGCGCCCGCCAGCAUUCUGGCGGGCAUGCCUGUUCGAGCGUCAUUUCAACCCUCGAGCCCCCCCGGGGGCCUCGGUGUUGGGGGACGGCACACCAGCCGCCCCCGAAAUGCAGUGGCGACCCCGCCGCAGCCUCACCUGCGUAGUAGCACACACCUCGCACCGGAGCGCGGAGGCGGUCACGCCGUAAAACGCCCAACUUUCUUAGAGUUGACCUCGGAUCAGGUAGGAAUACCCGCUGAACUUAAGCAUAUCAAUAAGCGGAGGA
rnacentral:misc_RNA from 1 species